rnacentral:rRNA from 1 species
UACGUAGGGCGCAAGCGUUGUCCGGAAUUAUUGGGCGUAAAGAGCUCGUAGGCGGUUUGUCGCGUCUGCUGUGAAAGUCCGAGGCUCAACCUCGGAUCUGCAGUGGGUACGGGCAGACUAGAGUGUGGUAGGGGAGACUGGAAUUCCUGGUGUAGCGGUGGAAUGCGCAGAUAUCAGGAGGAACACCGAUGGCGAAGGCAGGUCUCUGGGCCACUACUGACGCUGAGAAGCGAAAGCAUGGGGAGCGAACAGG